AUUGAACGCUAGCGGGAUGCUUUACACAUGCAAGUCGAACGAGUGGCGGACGGGUGAGUAAUAUAUCGGAAAGUGCCCAGUAGCGGGGGAUCACUACUCGAAAGUGUGGCUAAUCCCGCAUCCUAUUGGGGCGGCCGAUAUGGGAUUAGCUAGUGGGUGGGGUAAAGGCUCACCAAGGCAACGAUCCCUAGCGGGUUUGAGAGGACGACCAGCCACACUGGGACUGAGACACGGCCCAGACUCCUACGGGAGGCAGCAGUGGGGAAUUUGGGACAAUGGGGGAAACCCUGAUCCAGCCAUCCCGCGUGUAUGAGAAGGCCUUCGGGUUGUAAAGUACUUUUGGCAGAGAAGCGGUAUCUGCAGAAUAAGCACCGGCUAACUACGUGCCAGCAGCCGCGGUAAUAC
rnacentral:rRNA from 1 species